AGCAUAUCAAUAAGCGGAGGAAAAGAAACCAACAGGGAUUGCCCUAGUAACGGCGAGUGAAGCGGCAACAGCUCAAAUUUGAAAUCUGGCGCAAGCCCGAGUUGUAAUUUGUAGAGGAUGCUUCUGGGCAGCGGCCGGUCUAAGUUCCUUGGAACAGGACGUCAUAGAGGGUGAGAAUCCCGUAUGCGACCGGUUGGCACCCGUCACGUAGCUCCUUCGACGAGUCGAGUUGUUUGGGAAUGCAGCUCUAAAUGGGUGGUAAAUUCCAUCUAAAGCUAAAUACCGGCCAGAGACCGAUAGCGCACAAGUAGAGUGAUCGAAAGAUGAAAAGCACUUUGGAAAGAGAGUUAAAAAGCACGUGAAAUUGUUGAAAGGGAAGCGCAUGCAACCAGACUUGUCGGCGGUGUUCCGCCGGUCUUCUGACCGGUCUACUCGCCGCCGGCAGGCCAGCAUCGUCUGGGUGCGUCGGAUAAAGGCGUCGGGAAUGUGGCCCCUCGGGGUGUUAUAGCCCGACGCACAAUACGACGCCGCCCGGGCGAGGUCCGCGCUUCGGCUAGGAUGCUGGCGUAAUGGUUGUCUGCGGCCCGUCU
rnacentral:rRNA from 1 species